rnacentral:piRNA from 1 species
UGUAGAAUGUAUAACGUUCAA